rnacentral:misc_RNA from 1 species
UCCUCGUUUAAACGAGGCAGUCCGUCCAGAGUGCUUCGAACUUUCGUUCGAGUGGCAACAGGACGCAAGGGUUGCGCUCGUUGCGGGACUUAACCCAACAUCUCACGACACGAGCUGACGACAGCCAUGCAGCACCUGUGUUCCAAUUCCCUUUCGGGCACAGCCACCUUUCAGCAGCCUUCCAGACAUGUCAAGGGUAGGUAAGGUUGUUCGCGUUGCAUCGAAUUAAUCCACAUCAUCCACCGCUUGUGCGGGUCCCCGUCAAUUCCUUUGAGUUUUAAUCUUGCGACCGUACUCCCCAGGCGGUCGACUUCACGCGUUAGCUACGACACAGAAGGGGAUAAUUCCUCCUACAUCAAGUGCACACCGUUUACGGCUAGGACUAC